UACGUAGGGCGCAAGCGUUGUCCGGAAUUAUUGGGCGUAAAGAGCUCGUAGGCGGCCUGUUGCGUCCGCUGUGAAAUCCCGGGGCUUAACCCCGGGCUUGCAGUGGAUACGGGCAGGCUGGAGGCAGGCAGGGGAGAACGGAAUUCCGUGGUGUAGCGGUGAAAAUGCGCAGAUAUCAGGAGGAACACCGGUGGCGAAGGCGGAUCUCUGGGCCCAUUACUGACGCUGAGGAGCGAAAAGCGUGGGGGAGCGAAACAGGG
rnacentral:rRNA from 1 species